UAGGGGUAAAAAAAAGCUUGCUUCCUUGUUCCCGGCGCACGGGUGCGUAACGCGUAUGCAAUCUACCUUGUACACGCCGACCAACCAUUAGCCCAUUUGGAUUAAUACCCCAUAGUGUAAUGAAUAGGCAUCUAUUUAUUACUAAAGUUCCAACGGUACAAGAUGAGCAUGCGUCCCAUUAGCUAGUUGGUGUGGUAACGGCAUACCAAGGCAACGAUGGGUAGGGGUCCUGAGAGGGAGAUCCCCCACACUGGUACUGAGACACGGACCACACUCCUACGGGAGGCAGCAUUGAGGAAUAUUGGUCAAUGGGCGCAAGCCUGAACCAGCCAUGCCGCGUGCAAGAUGACGGUCCUAUGGAUUGUAAACUGCUUUUGUACAGGAAGAAACACUCCCUCGUGAGGGAGCUUGACGGUACUGUCAUAAUAAAGAUCGGCUAACUCCGUGCCAGCAGGCCGCGGUAAUACCGGAAGAUCCAAGCGUUAUCCGGAAAUCAUUGGGGUUUAAAGGGUCCGUAAGCGGUUUUAUAAGAUCAGUGGUGAAAUCUGGGUCCCCCACGUAUUAACGGCCUUUGAAACUGCAGAACUUGAAUAUUGGGGAAGGUACU
rnacentral:rRNA from 1 species